UAAACUCUUUUUAUUAAUGUCGUCUGAGUACUAUAUAAUAGUUAAAACUUUCAACAACGGAUCUCUUGGUUCUGGCAUCGAUGAAGAACGCAGCGAAAUGCGAUAAGUAAUGUGAAUUGCAGAAUUCAGUGAAUCAUCGAAUCUUUGAACGCACAUU
rnacentral:rRNA from 1 species